UACGAAGGGGGCUAGCGUUGUUCGGAUUUACUGGGCGUAAAGCGCACGUAGGCGGAUCUUUAAGUCAGAGGUGAAAAUUCCCAAAGGCUCAACCUUGGAACUGCCUUCGAUACUGCGGGUCUCGAGUCCGGGAGAGGUGAGUGGAAUUCCUAGUGUAGAGGUGAAAUUCGUAGAUAUUAGGAAGAACACCAACGGCGAAGGCAGCUCGCUGGGACGGAACUGACGCUG
rnacentral:rRNA from 1 species